rnacentral:misc_RNA from 1 species
AACUUUCAACAAUGGAUCUCUUGGCUCUCGCAUCGAUGAAGAACGAAGCGAAUGCGAUAAGUAAUGUGAAUUGCAGAAUUCAGUGAAUCAUCGAAUCUUUGAACGCACCUUGCGCUCCUUGGUAUUCCGAGGAGCAUGCCUGUUUGAGUGUCAUUAAAUUCUCAACCUUAUCAGUUUAUUUCUGAUAGUGGCUUGGAUGUGGGGGUUUUCUUGCUGGCUGAGGUCAGCUCCCCUUAAAUGCAUUAGCUGGUGCCCCGUGUGGACUGUCUAUUGGUGUGAUAAUUAUCUACGCCAUGGAUGGUCUGCAAGCGCACUGCUUCUAACCGUCUGUUAAUUCGGACAAUACAAUGACAAUUUGACCUCAAAUCAGGUAGGACUACCCGCUGAACUUAAGCAUAUCAAUAAGCGGAGGCU